rnacentral:misc_RNA from 1 species
GUUUGCUUGUCUAGGUACUGUUUUCAAAAAUGAGCUACUUUAUGUUUCUAUCACAAAAGAAUCCAUAGGACCUUUUUGCUUUUACUUCAAUAAAUUCCCUUGUUCCCCAUAUUGCCUCUCUUCCCAUUUAUAUUGAUUUCCUCCUCAUCACCUUCAAUUUCAAUUAUAUUAUCAAAAUCAACUAAUUGAUCUUAAUUCACUUUAUCCUUCUUUUUCCCCUUUCAUAUGUUACUCCCUUUUUCCUAACAUGUUCAAUACACAAACUUUUUUGCAUUCCUAUGAACU